rnacentral:rRNA from 1 species
UAUGUGAUCGUCUCUCGCAUAUCAAUAAGCGGAGGAAAAGAAACUAACAAGGAUUCCCCUAGUAACGGCGAGUGAAGCGGGAAGAGCUCAAAUUUGAAAUCUUAAAGGGUUUCCCUUUACGAAUUGUAGUUUAAAGAAGUGUUUUCUGUUGAGGUUUUGGUAAAAGUUCUUUGGAAUAGGACAUCAUAGAGGGUGAGAAUCCCGUAUUUGACCUUUACUUUCAACUUUGUGAUACACUUUCAAAGAGUCGGAUUGUUUGGGAAUGCAGUCCAAAAUGGGUGGUAAAUUUCAUCUAAAGCUAAAUAUUGGCGAGAGACCGAUAGCGAACAAGUACCGUGAGGGAAAGAUGAAAAGAACUUUGAAAAGAGAGUUAAACAGUACGUGAAAUUGUCAAAAGGGAAGCGUUUGACACCAGUGUUGUUUUUCUGAAAAUCAAUUAAAGAACUGUUUAUGCUAAGUUGUUUAGACUUUAUCGGCUAACUGUUUAGUUUUGAGCUUUUCUUUAAUGCACUUUUCAGUUAACAAGUCAACAUCAAUUUCUUUUGCUGUAAAAAAGCUUGAGGAAGGUGGCUUGAGAUUCGUCUUAAGUGUUUAUAGCCUCUUGCCUAUGCAGUCGGAGAGAUUGAGGUCUGCAGCGUAGAUCCUUCGGGGCUAAAUGCAUUUGUGCUAAGUUAUAGCAUUUCAUAGACAACUUGUUGACUAUGAUUUGUCUUGUAGCUUACUCGCUUAUGUUAUUUUACCUACGCUUAGGAUGUUGAUAUGCAUGACUGAUAU